rnacentral:rRNA from 1 species
UAUAGAUGGAUCCGCGCUGCAUUAGCUAGUUGGUAAGGUAACGGCUUACCAAGGCAACGAUGCAUAGCCGACCUGAGAGGGUGAUCGGCCACACUGGAACUGAGACACGGUCCAGACUCCUACGGGAGGCAGCAGUAGGGAAUCUUCCGCAAUGGGCGAAAGCCUGACGGAGCAACGCCGCGUGAGUGAUGAAGGUCUUCGGAUCGUAAAACUCUGUUAUUAGGGAAGAACAUAUGUGUAAGUAACUGUGCACAUCUUGA